rnacentral:rRNA from 1 species
UGGGGAAUAUUGCACAAUGGGCGCAAGCCUGAUGCAGCCAUGCCGCGUGUGUGAAGAAGGCCUUCGGGUUGUAAAGCACUUUCAGCAGGGAGGAAGGCAGUGCGGUUAAUAACCGUGCUGAUUGACGUUACCUGCAGAAGAAGCACCGGCUAACUCCGUGCCAGCAGCCGCGGUAAUACGGAGGGUGCAAGCGUUAAUCGGAAUUACUGGGCGUAAAGCGCACGCAGGCGGUCUGUCAAGUCGGAUGUGAAAUCCCCGGGCUCAACCUGGGAACUGCAUUCGAAACUGGCAGGCUAGAGUCUCGUAGAGGGAGGUAGAAUUCCAGGUGUAGCGGUGAAAUGCGUAGAGAUCUGGAGGAAUACCGGUGGCGAAGGCGGCCUCCUGGACGAAGACUGACGCUCAGGUGCGAAAGCGUGGGGAGCAAACA